rnacentral:rRNA from 1 species
GUACACUCCUACGGGAGGCAGCAGUGGGGAAUUUUGGACAAUGGGCGAAAGCCUGAUCCAGCAAUGCCGCGUGUGUGAAGAAGGCCUUCGGGUUGUAAAGCACUUUUGUCCGGAAAGAAAUCCUUGGCUCUAAUACAGUCGGGGGAUGACGGUACCGGAAGAAUAAGCACCGGCUAACUACGUGCCAGCAGCCGCGGUAAUACGUAGGGUGCGAGCGUUAAUCGGAAUUACUGGGCGUAAAGCGUGCGCAGGCGGUUUGCUAAGACCGAUGUGAAAUCCCCGGGCUCAACCUGGGAACUGCAUUGGUGACUGGCAGGCUAGAGUAUGGCAGAGGGGGGUAGAAUUCCACGUGUAGCAGUGAAAUGCGUAGAGAUGUGGAGGAAUACCGAUGGCGAAGGCAGCCCCCUGGGCCAAUACUGACGCUCAUGCACGAAAGCGUGGGGAGCAAACAGGAUUAGAUACCCCAGUAGUCCCAUG